rnacentral:rRNA from 1 species
CCUACGGGUGGCAGCAAGUCGGAAUAUUUGUCAAUGGGCGAAAGCUUGAACAAGCAAUGCCGCGUGAGUGAUGAAGGCCUUCGGGUUGUAAAGCUCUGUGUUUUGGGAAGAAAAACUGGCACGUUAAUAACUUGCCAGGUUGACGGUACCAGAAUAGAAAGCCCCGGCUAACUACGUGCCAGCAGCCGCGGUGAUACGUAGGGGGCAAGCGUUGUUCGGAAUUACUGGGUGUAAAGGGCGUAUAGGCGGCUGAGUAAGUCGGAUGUGAAAUCCUUGGGCUUAACCUGAGAACUGCAUUUGAUACUGCUCGGCUUGAGGUCAGGAGAGGAAAGCGGAAUAUGUGGUGUAGCGGUGAAAUGCGCAGAUAUCACAUAGAACACCGGUGGCGAAGGCGGCUUUCUGGUCUGACUCUGACGCUGACGCGCGAAAGCUAGGGGAGCGAACGGGAUUAGAUACCCCGGUANUC